CAGGUUCACCUAUGUGAAAGAUCAGUGAACCAACGUGUAGUGCGGCUUCUCUUGCUGAGAUUACGGACGUGAUAAGUCACAGGAUGAGUGACUGUGGAAAGAACUGGAGGCACGUGCAUGAGUGCCUCACACUGUUGGGUUGUUUUAUCAGUAGUGGAUGAGAAACAGUCACACACUGUCAAGAGCUUCUUCAACACUGAGACACAGAAGAAUUUUUGUUUUACGGGUAACGCUGGGAGGGAUCAAGGACCUGAAGUGAAGAUGAGCUGAUCCCCUCCAUAACCACUUCACCGUCGCCCUGUUUUGCCAGAAGGUCUGCAGAUGAAUGGCCACUGGCGGAUAAGAAUGCUGUCAGCCGCAUCUGGAGCUGAAGUAUGAUGUUUAAAAUGUGCACAGUUUGAACAGAGCAUACAUCCUAGUUAAAACAGGACCUUCAGCUUCCUGAAGUUUAUCAAAAUAAAUCUGAUUUGAAAGUUAUUGCA
rnacentral:lncRNA from 1 species